UACGUAGGGGGGCAAGCGUUGUCCGGAUUUACUGGGCGUAAAGAGCGUGUAGGCGGCCAAACAGGUCCGUUGUGAAAACUGGAGGCUCAACCUCCAGACGUCGACGGAAACCGUAUGGCUAGAGUCCGGAAGAGGAGAGUGGAAUUCCUGGUGUAGCGGUGAAAUGCGCAGAUAUCAGGAAGAACACCAGUGGCGAAGGCGGCUAUCUGGACGGUUUCUGACGCUAAGACGCGAAAGCGUGGGGAGCAAACAGG
rnacentral:rRNA from 1 species